UACGUAGGGUGCGAGCGUUAAUCGGAAUUACUGGGCGUAAAGCGCACGUAGGCGGUCCAGCAAGUCGGGUGUGAAAGCCCGGGGCUCAACCCUGGAAGUGCAUUCGAAACUGCUGGACUUGAGUACCGGAGAGGGUGGCGGAAUUCCCGGUGUAGAGGUGAAAUUCGUAGAUAUCGGGAGGAACACCAGUGGCGAAGGCGGCCACCUGGACGGAUACUGACGCUGAGGUGCGAAAGCGUGGGGAGCAAACAGG
rnacentral:rRNA from 1 species